CCCAAAAACAUGCAUGAAUUGGAGACUCUAAAUUGCCCGUAGGCAUGACUGUGAGUGCGAAUGGUUGUUUGUUUGUAUGUGCCCUGCGAUUGGCUGGCAACCAGUUCAGGGUGUACCCCGCCUCCUGCCCGAUGACAGCUGGGAUAGGCUCCAGCACGCCCGCGACCCUAGUGAGGAGAAGCGGCUCAGAAAAUGGAUGGAUGGAUGUAUGUAUAUAUAUAUUGUUUUGUUAUUUUUCCCUUUGGCUUAUGCACCAUCAUCCCAUGACAAUAUUUCUGGAGGAAAAAAUAAAUGACAAUAUCGAGGCAGAGGAGGCAUGCACGAGGUAGAUAUCAAGGAAGUUGGAUCAUUUGGUGCUGAUCAAUAAUAGUGAUUGUCUUGGCCUUCGAUACAGGGCUAUACUCUGUGAGAGUAGUUUAAAAACAAUUGAAAUUCAUCAGAUCAUAAAGCUAAUCUAUAAAAAAUAUAUAUAUAAUUUGUGGACAAAUGCUUCUAGUCAAGUCUAUAGGAUGCUGUUCCUAUGAAUGCUAAAAUUAGUGUGCAGUUUGGAAUAUGCCUGCCUCUUUUAUAAUGAUAGAAAAUGGUGUAAUGAUGGAUCGAGUGCAGUACAGUAUUUUCAUUGAAACGGGCCCUGUUAUUUUGCCUUGGGAUUUAAUUUGUUCCUCUGGCCUCAAAAUGAUGUGCAGCUUUCACUUAAUUGUUUGAGGUUGCAGUGUCACGACAGCCGCCUGCGGAGAAGCAUGCAACAGCAUCCCAACCCUCACACACAGUCAUCCCCUCUUAUAAGCAAUCAGUCACGUUGGCCCCAAAUAUGUCCUCAUCAUUUCUUUUUACACAGGAUACUAUUGGCUCUCUGAUUGGCUCAUCACUGCAAAGGGUCACCACAGUUCACAUUGUACCGUAAGAUCCUCUGCGUGUGAAUAUGUAGCUAUGCAUUUAUGUAUCCCAAAAAAAUUUGCCUUUUGUUGUACAAUGUUACGUCUAGUCCAUGACUGGGGCCAUCAUUGCUAGCAGCCUCUCAAAUGUAUUUGAAUUCAUCCUGGAGAAAUUUGCAAAGGGUACAUUGUAAAACCAGAUGACAAGCGAAGAAAAUGCCCCUUAAUCAUGAUGAAAACAUUUAUGGGGCUUUAUCUACUGUCUCUCGUUUAAUUUCACCCUUUCCUCUCUCUAUUCUUAGUUGACAGAGAAAGAUAACCAUCGCAAAAUGGUGUUUGUGAUUUAAUAAAAUCAGAUAGGGGACGCUUCAAAUGUUUCCCCAUAGGAACGCCAAACAUUUUUUUUGUUGCAGCAAAUUCAGGAGGUUGGUUGUGCGAGGGUCAUUCGUCAACUGUAAUUUGUUUAAUUGUCUAGUUCUGUCGAAUUCAGCUGUUUUGCUCGGUGUGCAGCCAGUUUAAGAUGAAGAGUGAGUGAUAUCUGUUAUUCUCGAGGUAUUCUGGUUUGAUUCAUUGUACACAACACUGAAGGCAAGUUUACUUCAUGUUACAUUUUUAUUUUUUUCAUGUAAAACUAAGCUCCGAAAACAAGACGAUUAACCUUCUGAAUUGUCAUCGUCAGCAAGUAUACAAAAGGAAACAGAGAAGACAAAAUUCCCAGAGGUGUGGCUAAAAUGGCGCAGUGGAACACACUAUGGAGUCCAGCAUGAGCGCUUUCGUUCACAUCAGCGGUUUUGCAACAAUUGAAAAGUGCAGUUAGCAAGCUAGCUAUGCCUACACCCCAAAAAAAUGCAUCUUCUCCUUUGGAUAUUCCGCUGGCGUGGUGUAGAGUGCCUCGUUAUCGGCUGUGAGUAUACACUUGUCUGGCGUGGCCGCGUUAGAGCGCCUGAUUGUCGCGGCGCUGAACAGACCCCUGACGACCGAGUGGCAUCUAUUCAAGCCACCAGAGGCUUUUUUACGCAGCCAUUAUUUUCAGAGCUGAAAGACAAAGAAGAAGACAAACCAUCCAUUUGUAGGAGUGGUCUUUGAUUGACAGUUGAGUGGGGCGUGGUUUCAGCGUACAUGCCCACAACGUUCAAGAGCGGAGAGAAACGCUUGAUUUUUCAUGUACUUGGCAUUUUUUUUUAAAUCAUUCAAAUUUGGCACCAUUGUUAACAACAUUCUUUUCUGUGGUGUGUCAAAUUUACUUGACUUUUUUUUCAGCCUGGAUCUUGCUGAGAGAGUGGUUAAGCAGGGGACCUUGUCCAGGCUCAAAGCAAUUCUAGACCAACCCCCCCCGCACACUGCCUUCUCACAGCAGAGGAUCUCCUUCAGUGACAGAUUGCUAUCUCAGAGACACUCCACUGUCAGAUUCGGGAACUCUUUUGUAGCAUGUGCCGUAAGAAUGCACAAUGCCACAGCUGGCAGGGGUGGAGGGUUGUGAUGAAAUGAUGGUGUUUUUAGAGUUGUUGUUUUCAGUGCCUUACUCACCUACUCGGGCUCAAGUACUGAGGGAGUCACAAUCCUUCCAUACAUAAUAUUGUUAUUAAAAUCUGAUGUCAUCCCAUCCCAGCCAGACGUUCCUAUUGAAUAAGACUACAAUGGCCCAGAGGUGCCCUUCUUCUCUAAUUCCAUGAUAGCGCAGUUACUGACCCAUUGCCCUGUCUGCGCUCAGCGAUAAAUGGCCCACUGCCAGCUCAAGCCAGCUAGCAGGCUUAUCUUCUCUGGAACAUUAUUUAUUCCAUUGUAGUGUUUGCUUUAUUAAAAGCUCAUGUUAUUACUGA